UACGGAGGGUGCAAGCAUUAAUCGGAUUUAUUGGGCGUAAAGGGCGCGUAGGCGGAUAAUAAAGUUAGAUGUGAAAGACCGAGGCUCAACUUCGGAAACGCAUCUAAUACUUCUUGUCUAGAGGAUGGGCGGAGAAAAUGGAAUUCCACGUGUAGCGGUGAAAUGCGUAGAUAUGUGGAAGAACACCAGUGGCGAAGGCGAUUUUCUAGCUUAUUCCUGACGCUAAGGCGCGAAAGCAAGGGGAGCAAACAGG
rnacentral:rRNA from 1 species